rnacentral:sRNA from 1 species
UGAACGUCUAACCGAAUCCUCCCUGAGCA